AACUAUGCCUGAGUAGGAUGAAGCCGGAGGAAACUCUGGUGGAGGUCCGAAGCGUUUUUGACGUGCAAAUCAAUCGUCAGACUUGGGUAUAGGGGCGAAAGACUAAUCGAACCAUCUAGUAGCUGGUUCCCUUCGAAGUUUCCCCCAGGAAAGCUGGUGCCAUGUUUGACAGUUUUAUCUGGUAAAGCGAAUGAUUAGAGGCAUUGGGGACGAAUUGUCCUCGACCUAUUCUCAAACUUUAAAUGGGUAAUGUACCGUUGUACUUCUUGAUAUUCAUGAGUGCUCGGUCAAAUGCAAUGGCGCCAAGUGGGCCAUUUUUGGUAAGCAGAACUGGCGAUGUGGGAUGAACCAAACGUUGAGCUAGGAUGCCCAAAGUGCUUCUCAUGAGAUACCAUGAAAGGUGUCAGUCGAUAUUGACAGCAGGACGGUGGCCGCAGAAGUAGGAAUCCGCUAAGGAGUGUGUAACAACUCACCUGCCGAAUCGACUGGUCCUGAAAAUGGAUGGCGCUGGAGACGUAUAUCCAUGCUCGACCGUCAAUGCCAACGAAAGCGAUUGCUAUAUGGCUUGACGUGUAGAAGGGCGAUUGCCGUGGCGUCGAAACUUGCACCGUGAGGUGGGGUAGAGCUGCGGCAUGUGCAGAUCUUGGUGGUAGUAGCAAGUAUUCAAAUGAGAGCAUUGAAGACUGAAGUGGAGUAAGGUUCCAUGUGAACAGCAUUUGGACAUGGAUCAGCCGAUCCUAAGAGAACGUGUAAGUUCGUGAUUAAGCGCGUCGCCUUGUGCGUCGCAAUCGAAAGGGAAUCGGGUUAAUAUUCCCGAGCCAGGAUACGGAAUGAGCCUGAUUAAUCGAAAGUACCUUGUGUGCUUUUGACUUCAGGCAAAAGCGGCAACGCCAACAAACCCAGAGAUUAACUAUGCGAAGUCCGGGGAAGAGUUUUCUCUUCUUUGUAAGGGAUGUUAUCCCUGGAAACAGAUUGUCUGGCGAUAGGGUACGCAUCCCGUAAUGCAACGCGAUUCCUGCGAUGUACCGUGCGCUUCGUAUAGUGCUUGAAAAUCUGGGAGCGAGUUUGUUCAGGCCGUACCUGUUCGUACUGAUUUCCGCAGCAGGUCUCCAAGGUGAGCAGCCUCUAGUCGAUGGGACAAAGUAGACAAGGGAAGUCGGCAAAUUAGAUCCGUAACUUCGGAAAAAGGAUUGGCUCUAAAGGCUGAGUUGGUCGGGCGGUUGUGUUAAGCUGGGAGCGAUGCUUUGACUCUGUCUCAGACUCCAUACUCGCAAGGGAUAUGUAAUCGGCGGCGGAGCUUAGUAUUUGCUCACUGUGGACCGCGGUCGCUAUGCCACCCAUGCGGUGUCAAAAUUCAUUUUCGAGCCGUGCGGUGUGGAUCCGAUCAGCGUUUAACAGCUGACCUAGAACUGGUAUGGACAAGGGGAAUCCAACUGUUUAAUUAAAACAAAGCAUUGCGAUAGCUGUAAUCGGUGUUGACGCGAUGUGAUUUCUGCCCAGUGCUCUGAAUGUUAAAGUGAAGGAACUCAUUAAAGCGCGAGUUAACGGCGGAAGUAACUAUGACUUUCUUAAGGUAGCCAAAUGCCUCGUCAUCUAAUUAGUGACGUGCAUGAAUGGAUUAUUGAGAUUCCUUCUGUCCCUGUCUGCAACCUAGCGAAACCACAGCCAAGGGAACGGGCUUGGAGAGUAACAGCGGGGAAAGAAGACCCUGUUGAGCUUGACUCUAGUCAGUCUUUGUGAAGAAACAUGAUGGGUGUAGAAUAGGUGGGAGGACGCGACAGUGAAAUACCACUACUAUCAUCGUUUCUUUACUUACUCAAUUGAUCAGGGAGCGUGAAUUCGCUAUUUGCGAUGUAUGAUUAUUCCUUCAGUGGAAUAAGUGUCUGGUUUGAGAACACAGACUGAUUGGGAGUUUGACUGGGGCGGUACAUCUGUUAAAAUCUAACGCAGGUGUCCUAAGGCAAUCUCAGCGUGGACAGAAACCUCGCAUAGAGCGAAAGGGCAAAAGAUUGCUUGAUCUUGAUUUUCAGUACGAAUAAAGACAAUGAAAGUUUGGCUUGUCGAUCCUUUUGAAUUUUACGAGUUUUAAGCAAGAGGUGUCAGAAAAGUUACCACAGGGAUAACUGGCU
rnacentral:rRNA from 1 species